CUGCUCACUCCGUAGAAGACCAAGCGGGCUAGAAGACACACUCGUGCUCAUGGGAAGGUUUGCACGGUUUGAGGACGAGUAACCGUUCCCAGCCUAGUAUAACAUGAUCACUUAAAGUAUUAAAGUAUACAAUACCGUUAAUGGCUACGGGAUAUUAGUAUCAAGAGAUAUCCUGUUGGGGUUACUUUGGACACACACACACACACACACACACACACACACACACACACACACACACACACACACACACACACACACACACACACACACACACACACACACACAUACACGCGCACACACACACACACACACAC